rnacentral:rRNA from 1 species
GAUGAGCGCUGGCGGCGUGCCUAAUACAUGCAAGUCGAGCGAACGGACGAGAAGCUUGCUUCUCUGAUGUUAGCGGCGGACGGGUGAGUAACACGUGGAUAACCUACCUAUAAGACUGGGAUAACUUCGGGAAACCGGAGCUAAUACCGGAUAAUAUUUUGAACCGCAUGGUUCAAAAGUGAAAGACGGUCUUGCUGUCACUUAUAGAUGGAUCCGCGCUGCAUUAGCUAGUUGGUAAGGUAACGGCUUACCAAGGCAACGAUGCAUAGCCGACCUGAGAGGGUGAUCGGCCACACUGGAACUGAGACACGGUCCAGACUCCUACGGGAGGCAGCAGUAGGGUAUCUUCCGCAAUGGGCGAAAGCCUGACGGAGCAACGCCGCGUGAGUGAUGAAGGUCUUCGGAUCGUAAAACUCUGUUAUUAGGGAAGAACAUAUGUGUAAGUAACUGUGCACAUCUUGACGGUACCUAAUCAGAAAGCCACGGCUAACUACGUGCCAGCAGCCGCGGUAAUACGUAGGUGGCAAGCGUUAUCCGGAAUUAUUGGGCGUAAAGCGCGCGUAGGCGGUUUUUUAAGUCUGAUGUGAAAGCCCACGGCUCAACCGUGGAGGGUCAUUGGAAACUGGAAAACUUGAGUGCAGAAGAGGAAAGUGGAAUUCCAUGUGUAGCGGUGAAAUGCGCAGAGAUAUGGAGGAACACCAGUGGCGAAGGCGACUUUCUGGUCUGUAACUGACGCUGAUGUGCGAAAGCGUGGGGAUCAAACAGGAUUAGAUACCCUGGUAGUCCACGCCGUAAACGAUGAGUGCUAAGUGUUAGGGGGUUUCCGCCCCUUAGUGCUGCAGCUAACGCAUUAAGCACUCCGCCUGGGGAGUACGACCGCAAGGUUGAAACUCAAAGGAAUUGACGGGGACCCGCACAAGCGGUGGAGCAUGUGGUUUAAUUCGAAGCAACGCGAAGAACCUUACCAAAUCUUGACAUCCUUUGACAACUCUAGAGAUAGAGCUUUCCCCUUCGGGGGACAAAGUGACAGGUGGUGCAUGGUUGUCGUCAGCUCGUGUCGUGAGAUGUUGGGUUAAGUCCCGCAACGAGCGCAACCCUUAAGCUUAGUUGCCAUCAUUAAGUUGGGCACUCUAAGUUGACUGCCGGUGACAAACCGGAGGAAGGUGGGGAUGACGUCAAAUCAUCAUGCCCCUUAUGAUUUGGGCUACACACGUGCUACAAUGGACAAUACAAAGGGCAGCGAAACCGCGAGGUCAAGCAAAUCCCAUAAAGUUGUUCUCAGUUCGGAUUGUAGUCUGCAACUCGACUACAUGAAGCUGGAAUCGCUAGUAAUCGUAGAUCAGCAUGCUACGGUGAAUACGUUCCCGGGUCU